rnacentral:rRNA from 1 species
CAAUAGCGUAUAUUAAAGUUGUUGCAGUUAAAAAGCUCGUAGUUGGAUUUCUGGUCGGAGCGACCGGUCGGCGUCCUUUGUGGCGUGUGCACUGUUGUCGGCUCCGUCCAUCCUAGUGGGAAGGCGUGUUGGCAUUCAUUUGUCGGCGCGUGGCCCCGCUACGUUUACUGUGAAAAAAUUAGAGUGUUUAAAGCAGGCGUUCGCUGUGAAUACAUUAGCAUGGAAUAAUGAGAUAGGACUUUGGUACUAUUUUGUUGGUUUGCGCACCAAGGUAAUGAUUAAUAGGGAUAGUUGGGGGUAUUCAUAUUCAAUUGUCAGAGGUGAAAUUCUUGGAUUUAUGGAAGAUGAACUUAUGCGAAAGCAUUUACCAAGGAUGUUUUCAUUA